rfam:Gossypium hirsutum cultivar TM-1 chromosome 20, whole genome shotgun sequence
AUCCCAUGAUGAGGACACUUACGAAGUAACUCCUUGAAUCGCUCCCAAGUCUCAUACAAAGACUCGUCAUCCAAUUGUUAGAAAGUUCUGAUCUCGUUCCUCAACUU